CCGCCUUCUUCACCUCCACUUUUCCUUCAACUACAUCGUCCCACCACCAGUCACCCUGAUGUCUGCCUGAAUAGCCCUUGGCUACCCCGAGCACAUCCCGUGCUAUCUCCCUAACAAAGUUCGCCGUCUCUGACCACAUAGCGUCCGCUUCCCCAGAACUUCUCCAAGCUCCGCCCUCAGCUAACCUCCUCUCCAACUCCCGAGCUUUCUCCUUAGUCAAAACACCCCAUCUAAUUCGCGGUUGUCCU
rnacentral:lncRNA from 1 species